ensembl:antisense Gm12764 predicted gene 12764
UCUGAACUGUGUACAAGAGUCCCGGAUCAUCAAAACUUAAACUUUCCUUUCUACCAGGGUUCCAGAAAAUUGGCCCGUGGGGACAGCAAGCAAGCAUUUUAACGCGCACCCUUCAGUUGCAUAAGAUUUCCGGCAUAACAGGUAACAAUCACAGAGGAGACAAACGGGAUGCGAUCGACUGGACGGUACCAAACGGCCUUUCGAGAUCACAAGUCUGCGGCGCAAACCCAAAGUUUGGAGCACACUCCUUAGGAGUUCACUCGACAACCGUCGCCACCGACCCAGACGAAGAACGCUGAGAAAAUGGGUGCCCGAGGAAUCAACACAUCCGCAUUCAUCUCGAGAUUGAAAUACAGCUGAUAAAUGCAUGAGACUAAGCAUCACAUCCUGCAGAAGCAACUGCAGUGCACGGCCACCAUUCCCGGCCUCUUCCCAGCUGCCUUCCCAGGGAGCAAGCACACUUAACUCUUUCUGGUGUCUCUGUCGUCAUCUAGAGAACGCACAUGCUAUGCUUAUAACACCAGCUUCUUUCUCUUUUCAAGACUUAUUUCUAUUUAUGUGCAUGUACAUA